GAUGAACGCUGGCGGCGUGCCUAAUACAUGCAAGUCGAGCGAACAGACGAGGAGCUUGCUCCUCUGACGUUAGCGGCGGACGGGUGAGUAACACGUGGAUAACCUACCUGUAAGACUGGGAUAACUUCGGGAAACCGGAGCUAAUACCGGAUAAUAUAUUGAACCGCAUGGUUCAAUAGUGAAAGACGGUUUUGCUGUCACUUAUAGAUGGAUCCGCGCCGCAUUAGCUAGUUGGUAAGGUAGCGGCUUACCAAGGCAACGAUGCGUAGCCGACCUGAGAGGGUGAUCGGCCACACUGGAACUGAGACACGGUCCAGACUCCUACGGGAGGCAGCAGUAGGGAAUCUUCCGCAAUGGGCGAAAGCCUGACGGAGCAACGCCGCGUGAGUGAUGAAGGUCUUCGGAUCGUAAAACUCUGUUAUUAGGGAAGAACAAAUGUGUAAGUAACUAUGCACGUCUUGACGGUACCUAAUCAGAAAGCCACGGCUAACUACGUG
rnacentral:rRNA from 1 species